AUGAACGCUAGCGACAGGCUUAACACAUGCAAGUCGAGGGGCAGCAUGAUUUGUAGCAAUACAGAUUGAUGGCGACCGGCGCACGGGUGAGUAACGCGUAUGCAACUUACCUAUCAGAGGGGGAUAGCCCGGCGAAAGUCGGAUUAAUACCCCAUAAAACAGGGGUCCCGCAUGGGAAUAUUUGUUAAAGAUUCAUCGCUGAUAGAUAGGCAUGCGUUCCAUUAGGCAGUUGGCGGGGUAACGGCCCACCAAACCGACGAUGGAUAGGGGUUCUGAGAGGAAGGUCCCCCACAUUGGUACUGAGACACGGACCAAACUCCUACGGGAGGCAGCAGUGAGGAAUAUUGGUCAAUGGCCGAGAGGCUGAACCAGCCAAGUCGCGUGAAGGAAGAAGGAUCUAUGGUUUGUAAACUUCUUUUAUAGGGGAAUAAAGUGGAGGACGUGUCCUUUUUUGUAUGUACCCUAUGAAUAAGCAUCGGCUAACUCCGUGCCAGCAGCCGCGGUAAUACGGAGGAUGCGAGCGUUAUCCGGAUUUAUUGGGUUUAAAGGGUGCGUAGGUGGUGAUUUAAGUCAGCGGUGAAAGUUUGUGGCUCAACCAUAAAAUUGCCGUUGAAACUGGGUUACUUGAGUGUGUUUGAGGUAGGCGGAAUGCGUGGUGUAGCGGUGAAAUGCAUAGAUAUCACGCAGAACUCCGAUUGCGAAGGCAGCUUACUAAACCAUAACUGACACUGAAGCACGAAAGCGUGGGGAUCAAACAGGAUUAGAUACCCUGGUAGUCCACGCAGUAAACGAUGAUUACUAGGAGUUUGCGAUACAAUGUAAGCUCUACAGCGAAAGCGUUAAGUAAUCCACCUGGGGAGUACGCCGGCAACGGUGAAACUCAAAGGAAUUGACGGGGGCCCGCACAAGCGGUGGAGCAUGUGGUUUAAUUCGAUGCAACGCGAAGAACCUUACCUGGUCUUGACAUCCACGGAAGUUUUCAGAGAUGAGAAUGUGCCUUCGGGAACCGUGAGACAGGUGCUGCAUGGCUGUCGUCAGCUCGUGCCGUGAGGUGUCGGCUUAAGUGCCAUAACGAGCGCAACCCUUAUCACUAGUUACUAACAGGUGAAGCUGAGGACUCUGGUGAGACUGCCAGCGUAAGCUGUGAGGAAGGUGGGGAUGACGUCAAAUCAGCACGGCCCUUACAUCCGGGGCGACACACGUGUUACAAUGGCAUGGACAAAGGGCAGCUACCUGGCGACAGGAUGCUAAUCUCCAAACCAUGUCUCAGUUCGGAUCGGAGUCUGCAACUCGACUCCGUGAAGCUGGAUUCGCUAGUAAUCGCGCAUCAGCCAUGGCGCGGUGAAUACGUUCCCGGGCCUUGUACACACCGCCCGUCAAGCCAUGGGAGCCGGGGGUACCUGAAGUCCGUAACCGCAAGGAUCGGCCUAGGGUAAAACUGGUGACUGGGGCU
rnacentral:rRNA from 1 species